rnacentral:rRNA from 1 species
UACGAAGGGGGCUAGCGUUGUUCGGAAUCACUGGGCGUAAAGGGCGCGUAGGCGGCUUUAUAAGUCGGGGGUGAAAGCCUGUGGCUCAACCACAGAAUUGCCUUCGAUACUGUAGAGCUUGAGACCGGAAGAGGUAAGUGGAACUGCGAGUGUAGAGGUGAAAUUCGUAGAUAUUCGGAAGAACACCAGUGGCGAAGGCGACUCACUGGACACAUAUUGACGCUGAGGUGCGAAAGCGUGGGGAGCAAACAGG